rnacentral:rRNA from 1 species
CAUAUCAGAAGGCACACCCGGAGAACUGAAACAUCUUAGUACCCGGAGGAAGAAAAAGAAAAUUCGAUUCCCUUAGUAGCGGCGAGCGAAACGGGAAGAGCCCAAACCAACAAGCUUGCUUGUUGGGGUUGUAGGACACUCUAUACGGAGUUACAAAGGACGACAUUAGACGAAUCAUCUGGAAAGAUGAAUCAAAGAAGGUAAUAAUCCUGUAGUCGAAAAUGUUGUCUCUCUUGAGUGGAUCCUGAGUACGACGGAACACGUGAAAUUCCGUCGGAAUCUGGGAGGACCAUCUCCUAAGGCUAAAUACUCUCUAGUGACCGAUAGUGAACCAGUACCGUGAGGGAAAGGUGAAAAGCACCCCGGAAGGGGAGUGAAAUAGAACCUGAAACCGUGUGCUUACAAGUAGUCAGAGCCCGUUAAUGGGUGAUGGCGUGCCUUUUGUAGAAUGAACCGGCGAGUUACGAUUUGAUGCAAGGUUAAGCAGUAAAUGUGGAGCCGUAGCGAAAGCGAGUCUGAAUAGGGCGUUUAGUAUUUGGUCGUAGACCCGAAACCAGGUGAUCUACCCUUGGUCAGGUUGAAGUUCAGGUAACACUGAAUGGAGGACCGAACCGACUUACGUUGAAAAGUGAGCGGAUGAACUGAGGGUAGCGGAGAAAUUCCAAUCGAACCUGGAGAUAGCUGGUUCUCUCCGAAAUAGCUUUAGGGCUAGCCUCAAGUGAUGAUUAUUGGAGGUAGAGCACUGUUUGGACGAGGGGCCCCUCUCGGGUUACCGAAUUCAGACAAACUCCGAAUGCCAAUUAAUUUAACUUGGGAGUCAGAACAUGGGUGAUAAGGUCCGUGUUCGAAAGGGAAACAGCCCAGACCACCAGCUAAGGUCCCAAAAUAUAUGUUAAGUGGAAAAGGAUGUGGCGUUGCCCAGACAACUAGGAUGUUGGCUUAGAAGCAGCCAUCAUUUAAAGAGUGCGUAAUAGCUCACUAGUCGAGUGACACUGCGCCGAAAAUGUACCGGGGCUAAACAUAUUACCGAAGCUGUGGAUUGUCCUUUGGACAAUGGUAGGAGAGCGUUCUAAGGGCGUUGAAGCAUGAUCGUAAGGACAUGUGGAGCGCUUAGAAGUGAGAAUGCCGGUGUGAGUAGCGAAAGACGGGUGAGAAUCCCGUCCACCGAUUGACUAAGGUUUCCAGAGGAAGGCUCGUCCGCUCUGGGUUAGUCGGGUCCUAAGCUGAGGCCGACAGGCGUAGGCGAUGGAUAACAGGUUGAUAUUCCUGUACCACCUAUAAUCGUUUUAAUCGAUGGGGGGACGCAGUAGGAUAGGCGAAGCGUGCGAUUGGAUUGCACGUCUAAGCAGUAAGGCUGAGUAUUAGGCAAAUCCGGUACUCGUUAAGGCUGAGCUGUGAUGGGGAGAAGACAUUGAGUCUUCGAGUCGUUGAUUUCACACUGCCGAGAAAAGCCUCUAGAUAGAAAAUAGGUGCCCGUACCGCAAGCCGACACAGGUAGUCAAGAUGAGAAUUCUAAGGUGAGCGAGCGAACUCUCGUUAAGGAACUCGGCAAAAUGACCCCGUAACUUCGGGAGAAGGGGUGCUCUUUAGGGUUAACGCCCAGAAGAGCCGCAGUGAAUAGGCCCAAGCGACUGUUUAUCAAAAACACAGGUCUCUGCUAAACCGUAAGGUGAUGUAUAGGGGCUGACGCCUGCCCGGUGCUGGAAGGUUAAGAGGAGUGGUUAGCUUCUGCGAAGCUACGAAUCGAAGCCCCAGUAAACGGCGGCCGUAACUAUAACGGUCCUAAGGUAGCGAAAUUCCUUGUCGGGUAAGUUCCGACCCGCACGAAAGGCGUAACGAUUUGGGCACUGUCUCAACGAGAGACUCGGUGAAAUCAUAGUACCUGUGAAGAUGCAGGUUACCCGCGACAGGACGGAAAGACCCCGUGGAGCUUUACUGUAGCCUGAUAUUGAAAUUCGGCACAGCUUGUACAGGAUAGGUAGGAGCCUUUGAAACGUGAGCGCUAGCUUACGUGGAGGCGCUGGUGGGAUACUACCCUAGCUGUGUUGGCUUUCUAACCCGCACCACUUAUCGUGGUGGGAGACAGUGUCAGGCGGGCAGUUUGACUGGGGCGGUCGCCUCCUAAAAGGUAACGGAGGCGCUCAAAGGUUCCCUCAGAAUGGUUGGAAAUCAUUCAUAGAGUGUAAAGGCAUAAGGGAGCUUGACUGCGAGACCUACAAGUCGAGCAGGGUCGAAAGACGGACUUAGUGAUCCGGUGGUUCCGCAUGGAAGGGCCAUCGCUCAACGGAUAAAAGCUACCCCGGGGAUAACAGGCUUAUCUCCCCCAAGAGUUCACAUCGACGGGGAGGUUUGGCACCUCGAUGUCGGCUCAUCGCAUCCUGGGGCUGUAGUCGGUCCCAAGGGUUGGGCUGUUCGCCCAUUAAAGCGGUACGCGAGCUGGGUUCAGAACGUCGUGAGACAGUUCGGUCCCUAUCCGUCGUGGGCGUAGGAAAUUUGAGAGGAGCUGUCCUUAGUACGAGAGGACCGGGAUGGACAUACCUCUGGUGUACCAGUUGUCGUGCCAACGGCAUAGCUGGGUAGCUAUGUGUGGACGGGAUAAGUGCUGAAAGCAUCUAAGCAUGAAGCCCCCCUCAAGAUGAGAUUUCCCAACUUCGGUUAUAAGAUCCCUCAAAGAUGAUGAGGUUAAUAGGUUCGAGGUGGAAGCAUGGUGACAUGUGGAGCUGACGAAUACUAAUCGAUCGAAGACUUAAUCAA